rnacentral:SRP_RNA from 1 species
GUUGGGCGUGGGGGUGGGGGCCUGUAAUCCCAGCUACUUGGGAGGCUGAGGCAGGAGAAUCGCUUGAACGCGGGAGGCGGAGGUUGCAGUGAGCCGACAUCGUACCACUGCACUCUAGCCUGGGCAACAAGAGCGAAACUCUGGCUCAGAAAAAAAACAAAAAAACAGAGUUUCGUUCUUGUUGCCCAAGCUGGAGUGCAGGGGCACGAUCUCGGUUCACUGCAACUUCCGCCACCCGGGUUCAAGCGAUUCUCCUGCCUA